UGGUGGCUGACUGAUGCCGUUGGAUUGUAGCAUGGCUUGGGGAACAGAGACCCUCAGAGCCCAGGGAGCAGCCUCUCUGGGACAGCAGAGAGCCCAGGAAAGCAUUGCAGAGCAGGAGUGCAGCCCUCAUGCCCCUUCUCAGGCCACUCUGCUGGGGCUCAGCUUCCAGGCCAUCUCCAGAGGCCCCUCCCAACCCGUCCUUGGUGGUCCGCCGCCUACCUCCCUCCUUAAUUCACUGUGCAGCCCAUGGACUCAGAAAAGCCUCAUUUCUGACAUUGCUGAAGGUGGACAGCAGGCUGGAGGGGCGUUCAGACCACCCUGAAGCAGCUCUUUCCACACCCCCACUCCCACUCCCACCCAGCUCAUCUCCACCUGGGCUACCAGAUUCACAGGGAAGGACCCACCGGCCUCACAGUAGGUCAUAGGGCAUGGCGGAAGGGAGUUGUGCAAUGAGUUGUAUCUUUAUUGACAACAGACCAAGUUGAUCUCUUCGAUUUUCUUAGGCCCAGAUGUAUAGCUGGUUUCUCCUCCAAAUGGUUGUAACAGUGCCCUCCUUUGGCCCUCUGGGUCCUGGCUAUGUGCCUUUUCCCAGGUACUUACAUUUUGACUCUGAUUUGUAUCGUCAUAAUUUGUGGGCAGCCCUUUCCCUUCCCCCUCGUAUCCUUUGCUGCUUAGGAGCAAAGGCUCUGUAUGUUAUUGAUCUUUUCAUCCCAAGCACUUACCAAGAGCCUGGCCCUGGCAGGUGCUCUAUGCUUGUUGAACCGAAACAAUUGUGAGAAAAUAAACUCAAGAGUACAUCAU
rnacentral:lncRNA from 1 species